AGCUGCAGCUCUGUGGUUUUUUUAGGUUUUGAUUUUUGUAGCGUUGGAUGAGAAAAUCAAAACCUAAAGAAAAUACAGCGCUGAGAG
rnacentral:miRNA from 1 species